UAUCCUGGAAAGGAUGUAACUUACAAAUUCUUGUAACUUUUUAAGAGUAACAAAUAUUUUGAAGAAAAUUGUGUGUCCAAAAUUACAAACGCGCGUAAAUUGCUACAAACUGUUGUAAGUUACAAACAUUCGAUCAGGCGCGUCUUAUAAUGAGUACCAACAUAACACCAAGUUUUGCUGUCUAGAGAUCAGUGUACAGUGUCCUCUUAAGUACCGACUACUAACCCCUACAUUUAUUUGUAUCUUUUUAUACCUUCACGUAUACAAUAGCAUUGGCUUUCCAGCCAGGUGGGUUGCCAGAGUAGUCACUUUAAUUCAAUUACACAUAUGAUAGAGAAGACUUCCAGACUAAGUACUAAAUGACUUUUACUAGCAGACAAUAGGUUGUAAUUAACUAAUUGUAACUCUCUUAGCUCCUUUGUUCUUAGCAUGCCACAUGAUUUGAACUUUACUUGUUCCAAUCACUUUGGUAAUACCCCUAGUAAUAUCUAUCAUCUCCAGUUUAUGCAGCAAAGGCUCAAAACUAUUGUUUUACCAUUUUGCAUUUGGCUGGAGUUAAACACCCAAUGUUAACCUCAUUUUUAUUAAUCCCUCAAUAAGCCAAGAUAUACAUAGAUAUACAAGCCCUAUACAUACACAUGUGCCAGUGUUCGUUCAAUACAUGUACGCCUACAUUUUUUACAGAACAUUUUUCAGACGUCAUGAUAUCAAAAUAUACCUGUACAAAAAAUGAAGUGUUAAACAGAGUGGUGAACUAUCUGAAAUGGUCCCCUGAAAGAAAAAAUGGAGAAGGAAGAAAAUAACAAGAAACUAAUUGAACUACUGUUUUAACCUUCUGGUGAAUAUUGUUAUGUUAUUACAGCUCACACUUGAAAAUUGGCCUCAUCUGAAACCACUUUCUGUAAAAGCCAUAUGCUCUUAUUAUUAUUUUUUUUACCAAGCAUUUAACUGUAUAAAUCCAUGAUAAUUAACACAAUGGAACCAGUUUUACAUAAUAUUGUGUAUCUUACAGGAGCAUUUCAAAGAAACAGCCCAAGUUGAAAUAUGGUCUUUAUUGCACCAAUUUUACCAAAGUUAUCCUGUUGUCAUACAUAUACAAUGUAUGUUUCUGCAAUUUGAAUUUGUGUGCAUAAUAUGAGAUCACAUGAGAAGCAGAAUUAUCAAAGCGAUAGAUUUUUAUACUUUAAAAAUUAUGUCCCUUAUUUCUGACAACCAUAACAUGGCACAAACUUUAGGAAAAGAUGUAAAAAUUAUCGAAAAUGAAAUUCACUUUACAUCACUAGCUCUGGCCAAACUUUUUCACCAAUCUACACUUGCAACAAAACUUUCCAAUGAAAUUCACAAAUUUUAACUAGGAUUUAAUGAUCUCUUGUUAGGCAAACUGUCACCUCUUCUUGUUCCCCCUCAUGAUCUGAACAACAUUCUCAACAGCAUUCAAAACAAGUUAUCAAACACCACCUUAAAAUUGCAUAUCCAAAUAUACAGCAUGUCUAUUCUACAUCACACCCAACAGUUAGCAAACACAGAAACAAGAUUUUGAUCACCCUGCCAAUUCCACUGACUCCCUUUGUCCAACAAUUUACUGUUUAUUCUGCAAAAUCAUUUCCAGUCCCCGUCAUCAACAGCACAACUCAAAGUACACAUUUAAUUGACAUACCACAAUACUUUGCUACAAACAAGCCAGAUCAAACUUUUUACAUAGACAGUUUAGACCUGCAAUCAUGCAUGCACCAAUGCUCUCACUUUUGCCAUCUUCCAUACCUAAACAUUUUUCUUGCCUAUUGAAUAACUUGCUGCCAUGAUUUCAUGAGAAUAGAUCUUUGAAAAGUGAUGGUUUCCCACUGCUGACUGUGGCACAGACAGCGGACACUAGCACGUUUCACCAUACAGGGUUUGUUCCUAGGAACUGACAAUUACUAUACAUAUUAUGAAUUUAUUAAAAAGACUUAUGUAUGUACAUGUAAUGAGCCUAAUGAGUACAGGCUAAAGCAUAUUGGACUUGAAAACACAAGGACAUAUAUAAUAUAUGAACUAAUAGAAUUUCCUCAAUAUUAUAUUGACAUGUACAAGCUUUUUAUACACAUUGAUAUAUAUACAUAUGAUAUACUGUACAAUUUAAUUUCACUUAAGGAUCCGUGAUAGAUUUUUAUACUUAAAUUGGAGGACCAAUUAAAAAGAGGUGGAGGGUCAUAUCAUAGUGAUAGAUUUUUACUUUUUCAAAUAUAAUUAAAUCUUGUGCAAUAGAUAGAGAACUAGUGCAAUUCACAUUUACAUAGAUGAAACAUAGAUAGACAACAGGAUGUAGACAGAACGGGGACGGUAGACAGGAAAGGGGAUGUACAGUAGAUUGGAUAGAAUAGAAUAGAUAAGACGCUUCCUGUCAGGAAGUAUGGGGACCCUGGGGGGACCCCUACUUCUGGAUGGGUGUGUUCUUAACUUAGAUACUAACCAACAGAGUUUAAGUUAGCGGUAGUUGACAGUGAUUUGUAAGGUGGCAAGAGAGAGAUAUAGCAGUAGGUACAGACAUACAGAGAUAGCAGAGAGAGAGAGAGAGAGACAGCAACCACUGAGAAGUACAAUAAAAGGAGAAUAAAGAAGUCAACUUUAAGACAGAAAUAGUCUUGUGUUAGAAUCCUCCCCAGAAGUCAAUGCGACAGUUUCCUUCAAGAAGUCGGGACACAGUAUUCGAUUGUUUCAUAUAAUUCGGGUGUUUGUGUGAAUAGAAUAUUUUUCUACAUUUUCUCAUUGACCCAUGUUUGCAAAAGUGGCCCAUUAUUUUAAAGGGCCAUUGGCAAUUCUAAAUUCUCCCAUUUCAUAAGCAAAAUCCCUUUUUUUUACUGGAUCAUGUAAAUUAUCUUUAUAUUCUCUGUAGGGAUGUUUUUUUUUUAAUAUAAAACUUGUUCUCUUUUCUACAUAGAUUCAAGUACAGAAGUAAGCUUUAAAGAGUUUAUAUGGGAACAGCAUUAGGAAAGAUGGACAUGGAAUCCUAAUAAUGCAUGUCCUAGGACUUCCAUUCCUAGCAACGUAUUGUAAAGUAUGUGCCUCCUUGAUCUGAAACAUUACGCAACAUUUUCGGUAAUCUAGAAAACCACAUUAGUUAUUCAUUCAAGUGUGUGUUGACCAAAUCAUUAAGAAAGACCAUUUCCUUUUCGGCAAAAUUAAAUUUUUAAUGAUUUUCAUUUAUUCAGCCCUUUAGACAAGUACCUGCUUUAGGCACUAAUUAGAAAAUCAUUUAGCUGAUAAAUGAACCUUGACCACCAAUCAACCAUGACGCUAAUGAGAGGACGGCACAGAAAUAACCCUUUAAGUGACCUAACCCAGUCUUCCCCUCCCAGUGUCCGGGGCUCGGAUGAGUCCGGCCUGGGGUUCCAACCUCGGUACAUUUGUCACGUUAAUAGCUUGGCGUGACAAUGGUAGAAGAUAAGUUCUUUUAAAUUACUAACUUAAGUAUAUAUAAAGCAGGGAUUUUCCCUUAGCCAGUACUCAUUUAUUCAUUCUAUAUUAUUGUAUUUAAGCUCUCUGAUUUAGCAGCACUAUUGUAGUACCACUGGUUACUGAACUUUAUAGCCAAGACAAGACUGAUGUAGGAAUAAAAGUGUAUUUACUCAAGUGAUCAUUUUGUUACUGAAGAAGACCGCGCCAACUCAACACCGUGCGGCCGGGCUUGAUAAUCUUGCGUUCCGUUGUGCAUUGUAAGGUGUAAACUUUACAGUAUGCCCUAGGACUUGCAUUCCCAGCAUUGUCCAGUCAGACUUAUGUUAUUAGGACUACCAUUCCUUUGAUACCAGCACUUCAGCUGACAUGUACAGAAGCAUCUUAGCACAUAUCCGUGAAAAAGAAUACAAAUUAAAUAUUGACGAUAACAACCCCCGUCAAACAAAUACGUAAGGAGAGGAAUGUGAUUUGUCACGUGCAAAACACUCCAGGACCACAUGAUGGGGAUGAGACAGAUGUUAAAUCUGAGCUUACUUUUGUCAUCAAAUCCUAUCUGGCUGACAAUCCUGAUAUUGCAUGUGGUAGUAGGCCAAGUUUCAAGGUUAAAUUCUGUGGUGAUGGAACCACUAUAUCUAGAAAAUCUAAUAUGUGUGUCAUGAGCUUUUCUGUAUUUUCACCCCAACACCCUACUAUCAGUCCUAGUCCCCAUCAUGCGGUUGCAGUGGUUAAAAGUACAGAGAGUUAUGAAGUGUACAAGAAACCUGCCAUUGGAUCAUAGGGGGAAUCCCUACAUGUCCAAACCAAUCAAAUUUUAUGUAACAUUUCUACCUCCACCCUUUUUGGAGAACUGAAAUCUGGUGGCAACUAUGUCUUGCUGCCACUUGUCUACACCAAGUUUUGCUUGUGUUUAGUCGCAAGAAAGCAUAUGUAAAAUUGCACUUAUAUUUCCCCAGUUGAUUAAAGCAAAUAAUAUCCUUUGUAAAGACAGUACUUGGUUUAUGUUUGUGUAACAUUAAAGCAAUAUGCAUUGCCACUUUACUUUUGAUUUUUGAUUAAUGGUGCGAUUAAAUACAGGGACAAAUCUCUAUGGUGGGAAUGAGGAUAAGUUAUUCCGCAUAUUAUUAAGCAUUAUUUUCCAAACACAUUUGAAGAGGGACUGUAAAUUAAGUAGGCAGCGGUCCUUUUAGGCUGCCUGGGAGAAGGAACAUCCCUGGUGCAUGGAGCACUCAGCAUGACUACACUGCCCAACAGGGGGCUUAUAAGAAAUAUUCCAAGUUAAAGCUAAGGCAUGCAAAGAAAAACUAAAAGAAUUAGAUGCUCCAACCAUUCAAAAAAUUCAAAGAUAGACUGACAGUCCAUAUCACAACAAAACAGAUUAGAAAGUCCAUAUAUAUGAAGGCCAGUAAAAGGAGACAACAGUGCCAGCCAGUGUCUGCCUAGCAGCAGAAAUACCUUUUUGUAAAAUACCACUUUGGGAACAGCCUCCAGGUCUGCCAUCACUGGGAGAAGCAGUGUUUUGGGCAAUGGCACCUGGACCCAGCACCCCCUAUGUCACGCACCCAACCCCAGCAUCCAGCCUGGUUCCAAGCACUCCGGGGAACCCUCGGCCGUCAACUUGCAACCCAGCAGCAACAGUAGCUACCUCCGCGAUGACACCCGGACCCAGCAGACUCUACUUCACCCACCCAGCCACAGGAUCCAACCUAGUCCCAAGCACUCUGGGGAACCCACAGCUGUCAGUCCCCAGCACAGCAGCAACAGUAACCACCCCCGCGCAGCCUCGCCCGUUGACAAGCCCCAUGUUUAACAAAACAGAUUAGAAAGUCCAUAUAUAUGAAGGCCAGUAAAAGGAGACGACAGUGCCAGCCAGUGUCUCCCCAGCAGCAGAAAUACCUUUUUGUAAAAUACCACUUUGGGUAUUUUAUAACUGUUAAGAAUAUCCAAGAAUAAUUAAAAUAAUAUUCAAAGAAAACUUAAAUAAAGAUUAUUGCCUGUUCAUAAUCGGAUUUAUCAAGAUAAGGGGUCACUGCUGAGUCGCUUCCUGCAGCUACCGUUGUAAACAAUAUUACAUCAUAAGUCAUAGCAAUGUAACAAAUCGCGUCGCGAGUUUAAUACCACGUGACCAAAGAGAGCGAGGUUUAAUUGAGGCGAUACCCUGGAUAUCACUUGCUAGCCUGCCACAAAGCUGACUAGACGCAUACAACCAACAAUUGCCAAUUUGACCAGUGUACCAGAACACCAAGUAAGGGUAAGAGACAAAUCCUUGAUUUAUUUUUGGGCCGCUAAAAUCCCCUCGGCACUUUCUGCAGACUAGAUUAGCUAUUACACUAUACGCGUAGUAGAAAACAGCGUGCUGUAUAUGCCGCGUUUUCAAAACUUUAUCCAGCGAGUCUUUAUGGCCUAAGGUUUAUUUUGCCAGGAAAUUAGCUGCAUGCUUAGCCUUUCUUAACUCAUAUCAACAGACACCUGUUAUCUUACAACCAUGCCAGCACUUAUAGGCGCCCAAGCGUGCAUGCACGAUGCAUGCACACACACACAAGCACAAAAAAAAAAAAAAA
rnacentral:lncRNA from 1 species